CUGAGCCCAGAGUGGGGCCAGGACAUACCCAACAUCAUAGCGCAGAUGAAGACACAGCCAGGACCAGAACUCAAAUCUCCUACACCAGUGGGCUUCCCCCCUGAGCCUGAACAUGGAGUCACCACUGGCUCAGUGAUUACUGAGUGGAAAGGGAUUCGAGACGGCAGAGCACUGUGCAGAGAUAGCUGGGCAUGAGGGGAGAGAAUGCAAGCCUCAGCUGGGAAUCGGGACUCUUGGAUUCUCAUCUUCUCAGAUUGACUUAAUUCACCACUUCAGAGAGGUCUGUGCGUUCACUUGUUCAUUGAUUCAUUUAUUCAACAAAUGUCUUCUUAGGUAACCUCUCUGGACCUCAGUCUCCUGAUCUGUAAAUGGGCAGAAUGCCUUUCCCAGGAUGGUUGUGGAAACAAAUGAGAAAACAAAUGGGCAACUUCUGGUGACUGCGCACAGGUGCAUGCGUGGUUGCAGCAGAUGGCAGUGCCGCCCGCGUGCCUUGGUUAUUCCUGUGGCUCAUGCCCAUGGGAAAGCUUCCAACCACAGCACCUGCAACUCCCCCUGCCCCACAACAAUGUUCUCUGGUCAGUGGUUGGGGGCAAGCCAGAGUCCUGGGAGUUAGCACACACCUAGGAGUGACCCUCAAGCAAUGUUGGAACAGAGCCGAGGAAUACACACUCAGCUCCCUCCCCGCUCAGCUGGGGUCACUCAGGUGUGUUCUACGCUGUCUUCCCAGGGUCCCCAGUGGGAUGGAGCCCCGGUUGCCCACAGCUAUAACUUGCUGGCUAAUGCAUAUUCCUCCCUGGUUUCUUCCCCACCCCCUUACAGGUACUCCUUGGGAUCAUAAAUGAACUACCUGCAACUCACAUCCUAGUGUGAGUUGCAGGGUCUGCUUUCAGAUCAGCCCAAACUCAGGACUGUCUGUCUCCAGAGCCAACACUCAACUAUCACGUUAUGCAUCAUCCCACCUCACCCCCAGGGACCUCCCUCAUAAUGGAAGCAGCAGCAAAGACUUCAUAAUGAACAGCACCAGAUUCUAGAGGCACCUGCAUUCCUUGGCUUGUGGCCUCUUCCUCCAUCUCAAAGUGCAUCGCUCCAAUUUCUGCUUCUGUCAUCACAUCGCCUUUUCCUCCAGCUCCGACUCCUCCUGCAUCCAUCUGAAAAGGAUAAUCCAGGAUAUUCUCCCUAUCUCAAGAUCCUUCAUCACAUCUGCAAAGUCUCAGGCUGCUACCAAAGGGGCCACGCAGGACGUCCUCUGGGGAAUGCUGGCUCCCACACCACCCGCCUCGGCUCCUGGGCCAAGGUUUUGCCUUGAUCUGUCCAUCCCACUGCACAUGGCUUCAAGGAGGCAUUCAUGGGAAUCCCUGCUCAGGUCAGGCAGCAUCGUGUCAAGGUCAUGGCCCCUUGAAGAUUCUUUGAGGAAGUGGCUGUUGAGCUCCCAACCCCAGGGCUGGAGCAGGAGGAUCAGACACCCCGGCCUCAGCCCCAGAGCAUGAAAGCCCUCCCCACUCACCCAGCUGCUCUGCAGACCCACACUUGCACACAACUCCAUGUGCCACUGACCAGCUCUGACCUCGUCCUGGGCAAGGCUGGCGGGGCCUAGACCCAAACCCACAACAGUGUGUGGCUCCCAGGGAGGCAGCGUUUCCUGGGCACCAGCUCUUUAGAGAAUGCCUUCAGAAGUCCCCAUCCAGCCUCUCCCCUCAUGAAAUCCUGUCCUUGAAUCAUCCAGCCUAGCCCCCUGAGUAGCUGUGCAUUUCCGAGACCCCGAAUCCAUAAUAUUCAUAUGAAUGAGGUGGAGGGCAGGGAGAAUCGCUGCCAUUUAUUCAACCCUUAAUAAAUGCUGGGGGCUGCACAAAGCACUUUAAAUA
rnacentral:lncRNA from 1 species